GAUGAAGAACGCAGCAAAAUGCGAUAAGUAAUGUGAAUUGCAGAAUUCAGUGAAUCAUCGAAUCUUUGAACGCACAUUGCGCCCGCCAGUAUUCUGGCGGGCAUGUCUGUUCGAGCGUCAUUUCAACCCUCAAGCACAACUUGGUGUUGGGACUCGCGUUAAUUCGCGUUCCCCAAAUUGAUUGGCGGUCACGUCGAGCUUCCAUAGCGUAGUAGUAAAACCCUCGUUACUGGUAAUCGUCGCGGCCACGCCGUUAAACCCCAACUUCUGAAUGUUGACCUCGGAUCAGGUAGGAAUACCCGCUGAACUUAAGCAUAUCAAUAAGCGGAGGA
rnacentral:misc_RNA from 1 species